UAAAAGGCCUUUUUCAAGGCCACCAUAUCCUCUCAGAAAGGCAAUA
rfam:Lingula anatina scaffold38, whole genome shotgun sequence.